rnacentral:tRNA from 1 species
GCGGAAGUAGUUCAGUGGUAGAACAUCACCUUGCCAAGGUGGGGGUCGCGGGUUCGAACCCCGUCUUUCGCU